rnacentral:lncRNA from 1 species
UGGUGGGUUGUCGAUGUCCCGGAAUUCGCUCUCGGGCUCCAUCAGCGACAGCCUGGGGAGCUGAGGGCCCGGCAGCCGCCUUAGAGUCCUGGCUUGGCCCUGGGCCCUGCGCCUCUGACCCACCGCCCCUUCCCGGGCCCCUCGAUUGUUCCCCCGGGAGCGGCCGUCAGGAGGACACAGGCUGGGGAGCGGUUCAGUAGUUUGGGGGGCACCGGGGAAAGCCCUGAGGUCCUGCCCACUCUGAGCUUCUCCAUGGACCAGGCUGCUCAGCCCACACAGUGACCUGGCCAGGGACCGGUACACCUUCCUGGGGCUGGCCCGAGCGCAGGAUGAACAGGCGGGCUGCUAAGAUCCCUGGCAUGCUGCUUGGUAGAGUGACUGAGUAACCCACCCCCUUACCAGCUCUAAGGGUGCUUUCUGCCCUGACCAGCCCCGCCCCCCAGGCCUGCAUAAUCUGUAACCUGCUUUGGAAAGGGGCUCCCAAAGGGAUGGCAUUGGUAUCCCCUGGGUUUUUCCUAUUGGUGACAGGUGAUAGAAUUGGGUGGAGCCUGCUGCUGUCCCCUGGAACUCAUGGCCCACCCCUCAGGGUGCCCUGGAAGCCUCUCCAACCCCUUCCCAGGCAGCAGCAUGCAAACCCGCCCAGCCCUUCAGUUGAGAGCA